CGCCUUGCCAGCCCGCUCAGAAACUUAAAGGAAGUUGACGGGGCCCGCACAAGCGGAGGAGCAUGUGGUUUAAUUCGAUGAUACGCGAGGAACCUUACCUGGGCUCGAACGUAAGAUGACUGUAGGUGAAAGCUUACAUCUCUUCGGAGCAUUUUACGAGGUGCUGCAUGGUUGUCGUCAGCUCGUGCCGUGAGGUGUCGGGUUAAGUCCCGUAACGAGCGCAACCCCUACCUUUAGUUGCCAUCAGGUUAAGCUGGGGACUCUAAAGGAACUGCCUACGCAAGUAGUGAGGAAGGCGGGGAUGACGUCAAAUCAGCACGGCCCUUACGUCCAGGGCUACACACGUGCUACAAUGGCCGAUACAGAGGGCAGCUACCUGGUGACAGGAUGCAAAUCUCCAAAGUCGGUCUCAGUUCGGAUCGGAGUCUGCAACCCGACUCCGUGAAGUUGGAUUCGCUAGUAAUCGCGCAUCAGCCAUGGCGCGGUGAAUACGUUCCCGGGCCUU
rnacentral:rRNA from 1 species